GAUGAACGCUAGCUACAGGCUUAACACAUGCAAGUCGAGUGGUAACAAGAGGAAAGCUUGCUUUCCUUGUCGACGACCGGCGCACGGGUGAGUAACGCGUAUCCAACCUGCCCCCAACUAAGGAAUAACCUCGCGAAAGUAAGACUAAUACCUUAUAAUUUCCUCAGAUGUCAUCUGACGAGGAAUAAAGAUUUAUCGGUUGUGGAUGGGGAUGCGUCUGAUUAGCUUGUUGGCGGGGUAACGGCCCACCAAGGCAACGAUCAGUAGGGGUUCUGAGAGGAAGGUGCCCCACAUUGGAACUUAGACACGGUCCAAACUCCUACGGGAGGCAGCAGUGAGGAAUAUUAGUCAAUGGGCGAAAGCCUGAACCAGCCAAGUAGCGUGCAGGAUGACGGCCCUAUGGGUUGUAAACUGCUUUUAUACAGGAAUAAAGUUAGCCACGUGUGGUUAUUUGUAGGUACUGUAUGAAUAAGGACCGGCUAAUUCCGUGCCAGCCGCCGCGGUAA
rnacentral:rRNA from 1 species